rnacentral:rRNA from 1 species
GUCUACGGCCAUACCACCCUGAACACAUGUGAUCUCCUCUGAUCUCGGAAGAUAAGCAGGGUUGGGCCUGGUUAGUACUUGGAUGGGGGCAGCUGGGUAGCUCAGUGGAUUGAGAGCU